CCCUCUGCUUCUAAUCCAGAUGAACCAAGUUGGUGGAAGGGACCACUGCAGCUGCUGUGCUGACCACUGGAGCUGUGUUGCCAAGUACAUUAGAGGUAACAUGUAGCAUCCUAAAAGCACAGAUGUGUUCUAACAGCAGCCAUGAAUAAAUGACUAAUUCAGGUUUCUUCGUCUUUGUCUUUUCAUAAAUCCCUCAGCAUGUCCCACAGGAACUGUGAAGAAAAAAAGUACCAAAUCAGCCAUGACUAGGGCAGCCUCUAAUGCUUGUGGGGCUGCUACACACUCCUGUGCCGUAGGUGGCGACGUGCACCCGGUGGUUGUUUGUGAUCCGCCAGUAAAUCCAGAGAAGAAGAAGAGCCAGGUAUUUCCUGCAUGAGAGAAGGUGUGCCAGCGAGUCGUGGGACGUGGACGCCGCCACAGAAGGACUUCAGUCUGUCCAGGCGUCACUUCCAGAGACAGUGAGUGAAUUAUUAGUAUUAAUAUGUGAUUUUUUUUCUACAUUAUUGAAAAACUUUAUUGGAUUGUGCUGCAUAAUGUCUCAUCUUGUCUGUACUAAUCACUCUCUCUCUCUCUCUCUCUUUCUCUCUCUCUCUCUCUCAGGUCCUGGUUUCUGGAUCCCCCCUCCCUUCCACAAUGAAGUCUUCUUUGUGGAGGGGAGGGGCCACCCGAUUGUUGUGAUGUGUGUUGCCAGUGUAAACGCUCAAUAAAAUUAUUUUAAAAUCCAUAACCCCCUGCUUCCAUCUCUCCGGGAGGGGACACGGCCCCCUCCUCUCCCUCUGCAGCGGGGUGAGACUCCAGGAACCCAGCACCCAAAGUGCUGCCAGUAGUUUUUAAUUCAGAUUCAGAUUAUCUGAUUAGUUGUUUUUGUUUGUCCAUCACCUUAGAGUUUUCAAAUACCUACAAUCCUACCUGGAAUCCAAACCACUGCUGUGUGUGGGCAAGGAUUCAGUGACAAAUGGUUGAGUCUGACCACUGCAGUUGCUGCGUAUGCCACUAGGGGAGCUCUGACGUCAUCAAUUUCUUGCCAAAAAGGCACCUGUGGCGGCGUCUGCCAACCUCUCUUCACACUGGGACACGGAAAGCUUAAAACAUUUGAGCAAAAUUCCAGCCGCUCGUGGCUCUGUGUUCGAUAACCCCCUGCUUUGAUCUCUCUUGAGCUUCGGGAGGGGACAAGGCCCCCUCCCUCACCCACUGCCAUGGGAUCGAUAGUCCAGGAACCGGCCGGGUGGUAUUCGAACCAGCGGUUCCUCCACUGGCUGACCCUACAGUCACAAGACGAAGCCACCACGCCACCGAGCCCCCUUCGCACUAGAACCUGCUCUCUGGGCGCUUUUAUUUCUUCACUUUGGGGCACUGGACUUUAAAAUUCACUGAGCUCUCAUAAGGGAAUCAAACCCAUGUCGUCAGAAGGGUCAAUUAGCCUACUAACACACUGCACUAUGUGUUCACAGACAUUUCUUCCUUGUUUCUUAGAGGCUUUCAGUCUUCUUCUUCUUCUCGGUGUUGAAUUUCAAAAGUCACAAUGUCAAAGGUUUGAACCCACAACCUCUGAACUU
rnacentral:lncRNA from 15 species